CAGCUAAUGGCAACAUUAAUAAUAGACCUGCUGCUACUAUUUGCUUCAGUAGAUCUACUAGCUUACGUUUCUACCGUUCAUGGACAGGAGCUGUUGUGCAAUGGAAAUGAACUGAUUGGUCUUACUGGUGCGAUAAACAAGUCUACAAAUCAGUGUCAGCAGGGGACUCAGCAGAACUUGAAACUUUGCCCUCCGAUGGAAGUUGUGAAUCAAGCCAUUGGCGUCGAUAGUAAUGUUCUGUUUGUAACAUGCCAAGCAGAGGAAAGAGCAGCAGUUUCUGUGAGAACAGCUGAAUGUGGCUGUGGUUGUGGCCCAGGAGCUAUAUUUAACAACAUAGGAUUAAGCCGUUGUUUUCAGAGCAGUACUACUAUUCCAGGCAUUAAUAUAGUGUAUGUAAGACCUGUGACAGACUUUAACCGACAUGUAACUGUGUACAUUGAGAACUACAAUGUGAUAAAUAGUUGUGAAAUUUCGAUUCAAUGCAUAGUACACAGGGACCACAUUUUUAAUGAUGAAAGAGCUAGAGCGUUUUAAUUUUAUUGUCAGAUACGGUAAGUUCCAUAUAGUUAUGUAUGAUGAAAUUUACACGUAGUUGUACAAUUAAGUGUGCAAACCACCAGCUAUAUAUAUGCAUGGGUCUAGGCUAUAAUUAUUAUAAGGUUAUCCUAUAUUUACAGCUGCAUGCUGACUAAAAAUUAAUGAGGGUGAUGUAUCUAUUAUUUUCUUUUGCUCUUAAUUCAAUACCAUGCUUACGCAAGUCGUUUAAUCUAGGCUGGAAUCCUAGGCAUUCUUGCAUGCUUAUAUAAUUAUAGUAGAGAUUGGGUUGACCUAGCCUCGGCCCCGGCCCGAUUUUUCAAGAAAAAUUGGCCUGGAACCGAAGCUGUGUAUAGGGUUGACCUAAGUCAGAAGUAUAAUUAUAGUGAGUAAAUACAAGCUGCUCUAUCCCGGAUUAUUGGUGACAGGUAGUUGUACUAUGUAUAUUACAGUAUAUAUAGUCACCCGUGUAUAUAUAUAGGGAAUAAUGAACCGGGAUCUGUGACCCUGACUACCAGUGAAUCCGUGGCACCGAGUACUAGUGGAUCUGUGACCCUGGCUACCAGUGAAU